UGGCUCAGUAACACGUGGAGAAUCUAACCUUUGGUGGAGGAUAAUCUCGGGAAACUGAGAAUAAUACUCCAUAAACAUAGGAUGCUGGAAUGCUUCUAUGUUGAAAGGCAACGCCAAAGGAUGACUCUGCGACCUAUCAGGCUGUAGUGAGUGUAAUGGACUCACUAACCUGCAACGGGUACGGGUGUUGGAAGACAUUGCCCGGAGAUGGACUCUGAGACAUGAGUCCAGGUUCUACGGAACGCAGCAGGCGCGAAAACUCCGCAAUGUACGAAAGUACGACGGGGGAAUUCUGAGUGCUUACGCCUUGCGUAGGCUGUUUUCUUGUCUAAAAAACAAGGAGAGUGAGGGCUGGGUAAGACGGGUGCCAUCUCGUGCAAUUCUGCACUUAUUGUGUUCGUUGCACGAAGCACAAGCCGCCGCGGUAAUACCCGCGGCCCGAGUGGUGCUCAUUAUUAUUGAGCCUAAAACGUCCGUAGCCGGUUUAAUAAAUUCUUGGGUAAAUCAUAUCGCUUAACGAUAUGAAUUCUGAGAACACUGCUAAACUCGGGAAUGGGAGAGGCCAGAGGUACUUUCAGGGUAGGGGUAAAAUCCCGUAAUCCUGAGAGGACCACCGGUGGCGAAGGCGUCUGGCUAGAACAUAUUCGACGGUAAGGGACGAAGCCCUGGGGCGCAAACGGGAUUAGAUACCCCGGUAGUCCAGGGUGUAAACGCUGUAGAUUUGGUGUUGGAAAUCCUACGGGGAUUCCCAGUGCCGGAGAGAAGUUGUUAAAUCUACUGCUUGGGGAGUACGGUCGCAAGACUGAAACUUAAAGGAAUUGGCGGGGGAGCACCGCAACGGGUGGAGCGUGCGGUUUAAUUGGAUUCAACGCCGAGAAACUCACCGGGGGCGACCAUUAUAUGAAGGCCAAGCCAAUGACUUUGCCUAAUUUUUGGAGAGGUGG
rnacentral:rRNA from 1 species